rnacentral:rRNA from 1 species
UACAGAGGUCUCAAGCGUUGUUCGGAUUCAUUGGGCGUAAAGGGUGCGUAGGCGGCGCGGUAAGUCGGGUGUGAAAUCUCGGGGCUUAACUCCGAAACUGCAUUCGAUACUGCCGAGCUUGAGGACUGGAGAGGAGACUGGAAUUUACGGUGUAGCGGUGAAAUGCGUAGAUAUCGUAAGGAAGACCAGUGGCGAAGGCGGGUCUCUGGACAGUUCCUGACGCUGAGGCACGAAGGCCAGGGGAGCAAACGGG